UAGUGGUGGUGGCGCCUAGUGGUGGUGGCGUGCUCUUCCUCCAUGGGCGACUCGUAUGAGUGUAACUUCAUGUUCUUGGUCAAGUGUAAAAGGUGACACGGAAGAUAUCUGGUAUACCAACUAAUGACGAUAAGGCGGAUCUUUGUUCUUCAACAUUCACGGUCUGGUAGACGAAGCCUAUUCAUGAUGAUACGAUCGGAGCUAAUGACUUCAAAGGGAGAUCAAUGAGGAGCAGCUCCAAGGCCACAAAGAAGAGUUGAGCAGUUCGACAGGAAAUGGUUGUGCAUUCAGUCUGAUAAGAGGAUUCAAAUCCGGGCACUCGGUGCUGGCGUAUCGUCUUUGCUAUGAGUGCAUAGUUUGAGGCG